rnacentral:rRNA from 1 species
GGUUCGAUUCUGGCUCAGAUUGAACGCUGGCGGGGGAUGCUUUACAUGCAAGUCGAACGGCAGCACGGACUUCGGUCUGGUGGCGAGUGGCGAACGGGUGAGUAAUGUAUCGGAACGUGCCUAGUAGCGGGGGAUAACUACGCGAAAGCGUAGCUAAUACCGCAUACGCCCUUCGAGGGGAAAAGCGAGGACCUUCGGGCCUCGCACUGUCGACGGCCGAUAUCGGAUUAGCUAGUUGGUGGCAGGAGUAACGGCUCACCAAGGCGACGAUCCGUAGCUGGUUUGAAGGACGACCAGCACACUGGGACUGAGACGCGGCCAGACUCCUACGGAGGAGCAACAGUGGGGAAUUUUUGGACAAUGGGGGAAGCCCUGAUCCAGCCAUCCCGCGUGUGCGAUGAAGGCCUUCGGGUUGUAAAGCACUUUUGGCAGGAAAGAAACGGCGGGAUAAUACCCGUGCAACUGAUAAUCACCUGCAGAAUAAGCACCGGCUAACUGCGUGCCAGCAGCCGCGGUAAUACGUAAGUGCAAGCGUUAAUCAAGAUACUGAAUAAGCGUGCGCAGGCGGUUCCGGAAGAAGAUGUGAAAUCCCAGAGCUUGCUUACUGAACUGCAUUUUUAACUACCGAGCUAGAGUGUGUCAGAGGAGGUGGAAUUCCGCGUGUAGCGGUGAAAUACGUAGAUAUGCGGAGGAACACCGAUGGCGAAGGCGGCCUCCUGGAAUAACACUGACGCUCAUGCACGAAAGCGGUAUGUGGGAGCAAACGGGAUUAGAUGCCUGGUGAUCCGCCUAAACGAUGUCAACUAGCUGUUGGGGCCUUCGGGCCUUGAUGGCGCGCAGCUAACGCGUGAAGUUGACCGCCUGGGAGAUACGGUCGCAAGAUUAAAACUCAAAGGAAUUGACGGGGACCGCACAAGCGGUGGAUGAUGUGGAUUAAUUCGAUGCAACGCGAAAAACCUUACCCUGCCCUUGACAUGUCUGGAAUCCCGAAGAGAUUUGGGAGUGCUCGCAGAGAACGGAACACAGGUGCUGCAUGGCUGUCGUCAGCUCGUGUCGUGAGAUGUUGGGUUAGUCCGCAACGAGCGCAACCCUUGUCAUUAGUUGCUACGAAAGGGCACUCAUGCGAGACUGCCGGUGACCAAACCGGAGGAAGGUGGGGAUGACGUCGAGUCUCCGUAGCCCUUAUGGGUAGAGGGCUACGCUCAUACAAUGGUCGGGACAGAGGGUCGCCAACCCGCGAGGGGAGCCAAUCCCAGAAACCCGAUCAUGAGUCCGGAUCGCAGUCUGCAAUCCGACUGCGUGAAGUCAGAUAACUAGUAAUCGCGGAUCAGCAUGUCGCGGUGAAUACGUUCCCGGGUCUUGUACACGCCGUCACCAUGGGAGUGGGUUUUACCAGAAGUAGUUAGCCUAACUUAACAGGAGGGCGAUUACCACGAUAGGAUUCAUGACUGGGGGCGAAGUCGUAACAAGGUAAG